GGAGAUGGAGAAGCAGAAGGAGAAAUAGAAGGAGAAGGUGAAGCAGAAAGAAAAAGCGAAAGCAAAAAAGAAAGGGAAGAAAGUUGAAGUUGUCAUUUGUGAUGUGAAGCGACAAUAUCCAUUUGAAGGUUUUAACAUUGACAGUGAGGGUCCAACUGAACUAAUGUCAUCCUUCUCGCACUGGAUAAACGAGGGUCUUUACAAGCAUCAUGCAAAAAAAGGAAACAAGGAGGAUCACUACUUAGCCAAUUGCUCAAAACUUGAAUUUGACUAACUUGAUUUAGUAGUUGCAUUUUCAAUGAAUAUGGAAUGGUUCUACGUAAUGUCUCAACCCAAUAGGUGCUGGAAUGAUGAGUAUGUGGAUGUCAUAUUUUACUAUUUGCGAAAGAGGUCGAAGCAGCAGAUUCAUUGUAAAUAUCAAUAUACCAUCACUAGUUGUUUUUUUCUAAACAUACAUUGACAAUUCUAGUGAAUAUGAGGAUAAAAUCGUUGACAUAAUGAAAGGGUAUGCUAUACUUUCUGGAAUGCCUUGACACUUGACGGAUGAUGUUUAUGUCCCUGUAAAUAGUAAUGCAAAAUUCCAUUGGGUCUUGGCAGUCGUUACAUUGAAGUAACGGUGCAUAAAAGUGUUUAUCAUGUCCUCAAAUAGGUCUAAUAGAAAACUAUCCUCCAAAAUUUAAAAGAUUACUACAAUGUUGCCAAAGUACCUUGAGUUGAGUGGACUUUUUGAGCAAAAUAAGGGAACCAACUGGUCAGUUCUUAAAUGUUACAAGGAGAGAACAAAUCUCACCCAUUCAAAGUCAGUCAUGUUACUGGUAUUGCCCAACAAGAAAGCAGUUUUCUGUAAGUAUCAUAAUAUUAUUUUGUCGUACGACUAUCGAAAUGUGAUGUUAUUAUAUUUUUUGAUUGAUGAUAUACCAUACA